AGUAACGGCGAGUGAAGCGGGAUGAGCUCAAAUUUAAAAUCUGGCUGGUUUACUAGUCCGAAUUGUAGUUUAAAGAAGCGUUUUCGGUGGCAGCCUGGGUAUAAAUCCUUUGGAAUAGGGUAUCAUAGAGGGUGAGAAUCCCGUCUUUGACUCAGAUUUUGCUACUAUGUGAUACGUUUUCAAAGAGUCGAGUUGUUUGGGA
rnacentral:rRNA from 1 species